rnacentral:lncRNA from 10 species
AGAGUCUGGGUGCCAUCUGUCAUGGGGGUUGGAGAGGGGCUUUCUGCCCCUGGGAGAGGAGUGGGGAUGCCACUGUCAGAGAAAUGGUCUCUCUGGACCUUUCCAGCUGGCCUGACUGGGCUCCUCAGAGCCCUGGGGCAACAGGUGAGACCUAGAAAGCUUGAGGCCCAGAGGCCCAAAGGGCCGCCCCCGCAUAAUGUAUGGACUCCAUCCUUGAGGGACUGGUAUGCAGUGGGGAAGACAAAUCUGGAAAGAUUCUGUUUGGGGAACUGUGCGCUGCCCACUCUCCCCCAGGGGCUUCUCACACCUCUCACCAUUGAAAGCCCACACCUGCCAACGAUGGCAGUUCUGGUCAGCACAAGAGCCACCAGGCAUGGUCUCUGAUUCCAUUGUCCCUUGCAUCCUGGGGCAUGGAUCCCUGGGGCGGCAUCAGUGCAUGGAAAUCCUGGAGGUAGACAAGACUUCCUGGGAAACCCAGCUAGAGGUGAAACCCAGCUAGAGGUUUCAAGGGGGAUCAGACCAGCCCAGCCAAAUUAUCCCCAGCCUGUGCCCCAGGUUUGGCCCAGCCCAGUGGGUUUGUUCAAACUCAAGAGUAAGGACCUGGCUGGGUACCGAGGCUCACAUCUGUAAUCCCAGCACUUUGGGAGGCCGAGGCAGGCGGAUCACCUGGGGUCAAGAGUUGGAAUAUAGCCUGGCCAACAUGGUGAAACCACGUCUCUACUGAAAAUACAAAAAUUAGCCAGGCAUGGUGGCACGUGCCCAGCUACUCAGAAGGCUGAGGCAGGAAAAUUGCUUGAACCCGGGAGGCAGAGGUUGCAGUGGGCCAAGAUUGCACCACUGCAUCUAGCCUGGGCCACAGAGCGAGACUCUGUCUCACAAAAAAAGGAAAAAAAAAAAAGAGUAGGGACCUGGAGUGGCCCGACUCGAUGCCUCACCACACACCACCUAGGGAUUUCUGUGAAGAGAGAACCUGAGGCCUGGAGAAGAAGGAAAUGAACACACUGCUGCCCUUCAGCCUCCCCUCGGAGGAACAGAACAUAACACAAGUGUCAGCCCCUUCUGCUGGUUGAAAUAUCUCAGUGUACCUGAAUGGGGAUCUGGCUGAAGCCAGAUGCAGAAGCUGAGGAUCCGAGAAGUUCUAUGAUCUGCCCAUGGCCACAGUUACUAAAAGGUGGAGCCUAGACUUCUCACUGUUGUCCUACCAGCUCCAGAACAAUAUUCUUUCCUCUGCCAAGCAUUGAGAGGGGCUGUGGUGUAGUGUCAGAGGAAGCCAAAGUGAGGUGGGACCUCUGUAAACAUCCACUUCAACCUCACGGCCCCCGCAACCUGCACCCUGGGGGACAGAGACCAAGGCCCGGAGAGGUGAAAUAACUUGUCUGAAGUCACAGGGUUCCCCAGGAGUUGAACCAGGCUUCAAUCCAUGGCAAUAAAAGUGUUCUGAAUUGUAGACAAGUGGGCCCCCCCCUUCCCCAAUGAUCUGUCACAGCCAUGAGGGCUGGGCUCCCGUAGUUGUGAGGCCUAAUUCUCAGACCCUUCCCCCACCACACACACACCUGUUGUUCUCGGGGGCUGGAGGCAGAACCCUCUGGGCAGGAUGCUGCCCCUCGAAUCAGCCUUUCCUCUCCUAAAGUCCAUCUGAUGGUCUGUGCCCCACCCCCACAUUGGCCCCCAAGGGACCCUGGGUCUCUGGUUUUUGUCAGGCCUGAGACGUUGGUGGGAUUGAUUUAUGAGAGGAGCCCCUACCCCCACUCACCCUGAGCCCUUGGUCCUCCUCCCCCUUCUCCUCCUCUUCCUCUUCCCACUCCUCCUCCUCCGCCUGACUGCCUGCUCAGUUUUCCACAGAGUCAGGAUUUCCCUGGGGCUGGGGGCUCCAAGCCAAGAACAACAGAAGACCGGUUCCCCCACCUCUCCUGCCCCUCCCAUCCCCCUCCAGCUCACUCCCCCGAAAGAGCAGGUCCCCCUUCGUUGAGAGGAGGGGUUGAGAGUGGAGGUCCAGGUCCAGCCUGAUCCUUAAGGAAGGGCCAGAAGGGAGUCCCCUCCCAGCAGGCGCCAGGGCUGGCCACCCCCUCCAUGGCCUGAGAAGCGCCUUUCUUCCAGGGCUCCCCUGGAAGUCCACGCUGGGGUGUGGAGACAACAGAGAGAAUCCUGAGGGCUCGCUGGGGUGGAAUAGGGGGUGUUGAGAGUAGUGAACGAGACAGACCCACACUCGGAGGGGCAGGUAGGAGAUCCUGGGAAUCCACGUGGUGGGGAGCAGAGAGGAUUCUGGAAGCCUCCACUGGGGCUGGGAGGGGGAAGGUCAGAGGCCUCUGAGACCCCACACUGGAGGUGGGUAGGAAGUAAGGUCCCCUCUGGAUGCUUAGUGGGCACAGAGAAGAAUAAGAAGGGGGGUCCCAACCAGUCUCUGGUUCCCUCUCCAUGGGGCGAGACUUGAGUCAAAGGAAAGGCUAUGGGGACAGAAAGUGGGAGCGCCUGUCGUGGAAACAAGGGCAGAAGCCUGCACGAUGAGGGCAGUGUUUAAGGAACGGGAUGCCAGACAGACCCCAGGAUUGGGGUCGCAAGAGGGAAGGGUCGGGCAGGAAGCGGGAGGUCACGGCUUGUGUCUGAGUUCGGCUUCUGUCUGGCUCUGAGGCUUGAUUUUGGCCCUUCAGUCUAGAAGAGGAGGUGUGGGGACUGGGUGGCUAAGGAACCCUGUUUUUCUCCCUGAGAAGGGGCCCAGACACUCAGACCACUAUAGGCAGACAGACAGAGCUUCUCCCUAGAAAGCGCUCCCUGGGGCUCUGCCUGCAGCCUGCCAGCUGGACAGGAGAAGCCUACUGUCCUGCGCCUGGCCACUCCCCACUUAGUCAGUCCAUCCCCAGCUGCCUCCACCACUCCUCCAUCAGCCCAGGCCUCCAUCCCUCUCAGCGGCGUGAACCUGGCUGACCCUCCAAGGUUGCCUGUCUCACACAGCAGCUCCUUUGAUAGGUCUCUGAAGGCCUCGUUUUCCUCCAUGCAUGCUCUUGCCUGGCCCCGCAGUGAACCCCUGUGUCCACCCUCCCCAGUGUGUGACCCAGGCCUAUCCUCAGCUCUGACUAGGGAGGAGAGG